rnacentral:tRNA from 1 species
AAUUUUCAGAUUGAUUAUCAUUUUUGUAUUUCCCGACUUAGUAUUAGAUAUAAAUAUACCUAUCGAAUUUUAAUAAUAAAUGAC